rnacentral:tRNA from 1 species
GCCCAGUUGGCGGAAUUGGUAGACGCGCUAGUUUCAGGGACUAGUGUCCUUAUGGACGUGAAGGUUCGAGUCCUUUACUGGGCACCA